UGGUGAUUUGGAAGUGCCACAGUGCCGAGAUUUCUGGGGUGUACGUAUCAGGUGAUGGCAAACGCGUCAGUAAGGAUUGUAGCCAUCGCAGUUCGAUGGGAUGAUUCUAUGUACUCUGACCUGGAAUGACACCCUUGAAAUUGGAGGGUGGAGAGGAGGAAAAGAUAAAAAUGUGGUCUGAUGUACUAAGUGUGGCAAUAUUUAGAAAUUGGUUUGGCAGAGCUUAAGAGGGACUUUUUGGUUGUUUAUUUGUAACAGGGUUUUGAUUUGGUCGGUGCAUUGACCAGGAGGUGGUGCUGUUAGGACGGAAUCCCGACUAAUUAAUCUGCCUAUCCACAGAAUAUUGCUGAAAUACGUCAGGGCUUCAACAACAGGUGCUUUGCUGUUGCCCUUUUCCUCACUUUGUUGCUGCUGUUGGUAUUUUGGGAAUAUGGUUCCCUUUUAACUUCGUGCUCGAGUGAAAAAUGCUACUUCUCAGAAUUUUUGCUUAUUUAUAUGAUUUUUCCAUCACGGCUGAAACAAUACAGAAUCGUAGAAUUGUGAAGGUUGGAAAAGACCUCUAAGAUCAUCAAGUCCCACCAUCAGCCCAACACCACCGUGCCUACCAAGCCAUUUUGUAUGAAACGGAUCCUGUGCUGCACAAACCUCGGCAUCGUGCUGGCUGCUGCUCUGGUUGGUGAAAGACAAUGACACAGUCUGCCUUUGGCUCUCCAGCAGCAUCUCUGCCUCACAUAAUAAUAGCAUGCAAAGGGAGUGAAGAAUGGAAGGCUGCAUGCCAUGGAAGCAGAGGAGUAACAGCCUUUUAGGAUGUUUCCAGGAAGGAAAAUAACAAUAAAAUGCUCCUGUGAGGGAACUGUUGGCUUGGAACGUGUUUCCAGCAUGCUGGGAUUCUGAAUAAGCAGCCAGGGAGUGUCCUCCUGUGCACGUGGCUGUGGCAGAAAAUGACUACAGGGAACUGGACUGAUGAGAGACACAAGCUACGUAAUUUGCAGUUUCUGGGCAACAGUCUGGCUUAUAGAUCUUCUCAGCUUUGAUAUUUCAUGUGGACAUCAGAGGAUCCAAAAUCUUCUGAGAAGUCAUAUGUUGGCUGAACGAACUAAAACAUUCUUACACUUGGUUGACUUAAACUCGGAGUUAAAACCAAAGGAAACUUCUGCUGAUUAAAACCAAAUCAAUCCACAGCGUGGAGUAUUGAGCAGCAGUGCAUCCACUGGAGCUCUGCUGUUGCUGCCUCCCUAGCGCAAUGCUCAAUAUUUGGUUUGCUGAGCUCAAUGGAACACGUCACUGGGCCAGCCUGCUUGCCAGGUACUUGUCUACCUGAGGGCUCCAGGUCACUUCUCUGCCACGCAUAAACACGCAGCAAAGCCUCUGCUGCUGGGGUGCUGCACCCCUCAGAAUGAUUUUCCCAGAGGUUUUUGUAAGAACAGAAACAUGUUUAAAUGGGGCAGAUGCUUCAGAAGCCCAGGCUACAUCGUAUGCUAUAUUGGAGCAGCACCCCACAAACUGUUCCAGCAACAAGAGUAAAGAACAAGAAACUGCAGCUACUAGGGAGGAGUGUGUGGUUGCAUCUAGUCGCUCUUCUUGAGCUGUUUGAAGGCUGAGCUUAAUGAAUAUCAGGUUGUUUAUAUUAAUGGCUGAAUUCAAACAUAAAUUCUACUUUUGCCAACCCCAAACCAUUUUUAAAAGGAACCCGUGAGGGU